rnacentral:rRNA from 1 species
UCGCUCUUUGUAACCUAUAAAUAAAGAGUCGUGCCUGCCCAGUGAUUUUAUUUAAACGGCCGCAGUACCCUGACUGUGCAAAGGUAGCAUAAUCACUUGCUUUUUAAUUGAAAGCUAGAAUGAAUGGCUUGACGAAAGCAUAACUGUCUCUUUUAUAUUAACUAGAAACUAAUUUUUAGGUGAAGAAGCCUAAAUAAUCUCAAUAGACGAAAAGACCCUGUCGAGCUUAAAAAAAACUUUAAAUUAAUUUUACAGCAAAACUUAAUUAAAACAAAUUUUUUGUUGGGGCGACAGAAGAACAGAUAAAGCUUCUUUUAUUUUUACAAAUAAAUAAAUUGUAUAGAGCCAUCAAUGAUGAUUAAAAGAAAAGUUACCGCAGGGAUAACAGCGUAAUUUCUUUGAAGAGUUCAUAUUGAAGAAGAAGUUUGCGACCUCGAUGUUGGAUUAGAAAAUCUUCUUGGUGCAAAAGCUAAGACAGAAGGUCUGUUCGACCUUUAAAUUUCUACAU